rnacentral:rRNA from 1 species
AGAGUUUGAUCCUGGCUCAGAUUGAACGCUGGCGGCAUGCCUUACACAUGCAAGUCGAACGGCAGCACGGGAGCAAUCCUGGUGGCGAGUGGCGAACGGGUGAGUAAAGUAUCGGAACGUACCUUUCAGUGGGGGAUAACGUAGCGAAAGUUACGCUAAUACCGCAUAUUCUGUGAGCAGGAAAGCAGGGGAUCGCAAGACCUUGCGCUGAUUGAGCGGCCGAUAUCAGAUUAGCUAGUUGGUGGGGUAAAGGCCUACCAAGGCGACGAUCUGUAGCGGGUCUGAGAGGAUGAUCCGCCACACUGGAACUGAGACACGGUCCAGACUCCUACGGGAGGCAGCAGUGGGGAAUUUUGGACAAUGGGGGCAACCCUGAUCCAGCCAUGCCGCGUGAGUGAAGAAGGCCUUCGGGUUGUAAAGCUCUUUCGGUGGGGAAGAAAUGGCACGGGGGAAUAUCCCGUGUUGAUGACGGUACCCGAAGAAGAAGCACCGGCUAACUACGUGCCAGCAGCCGCGGUAAUACGUAGGGUGCGAGCGUUAAUCGGAAUUACUGGGCGUAAAGCGUGCGCAGGCGGUUUUGUAAGACAGGCGUGAAAUCCCCGGGCUCAACCUGGGAACUGCGUUUGUGACUGCAAGGCUAGAGUACGGCAGAGGGGGGUGGAAUUCCACGUGUAGCAGUGAAAUGCGUAGAGAUGUGGAGGAACACCGAUGGCGAAGGCAGCCCCCUGGGCCGAUACUGACGCUCAUGCACGAAAGCGUGGGUAGCAAACAGGAUUAGAUACCCUGGUAGUCCACGCCCUAAACGAUGUCAACUAGGUGUUGGGUGGGUAAAACCAUUUAGUACCGGAGCUAACGCGUGAAGUUGACCGCCUGGGGAGUACGGCCGCAAGGUUAAAACUCAAAGGAAUUGACGGGGACCCGCACAAGCGGUGGAUGAUGUGGAUUAAUUCGAUGCAACGCGAAAAACCUUACCUACCCUUGACAU